AGUGAUGCGGUUUAAUGCCACUCCCUCACUAAAAACCCUGAUCUUUUCCCUGUACAUGAGAUGUGGUGUCUCUCUUGAUACAGACUCUCACUGAAGGAAGCAGUGUUUCUCCUGCAGCAGAGCAAACCUGGAGGAUGUCUCCAGCUGUGAUCGGAUUUCUUCUCAUCCUGCUGCCAUAUCGAGCUAAGAGCGUGACGUUUCAGCCGUCUCAUCCAAGAAUAAUCAACGAAAAGGCCAGGGUAGAAAUUAAAUGCAGUCACGAUGAUAGCAACCUCUAUGUAAUGCUCUGGUACCAACAAAAAGAGAGGGGUUUGAUGAGCUUGAUUGGAUACAGCUACUGGGGCAGUGACCCCAGCUAUGAGAAGCAGGUUGAAGGUCGGUUUGACAUUACAAGACAAGUCAUCCAAACAGGAGCUCUGAUCAUUCACAGUGUGAAUCCAUCAGACUCAGCUGUGUAUUUCUGCGCUGCCAGUACACAGUGAUGUGGUUUAAUGUCACCCCAUCACU